UACGCCUAUAUCACCUUAAAACACCGGUUCCUGUACGGUCACCGAAGUUAAGCAACGUAGAGCUAGGUCAGUAUCUUGAUAGGUAACUGCUUGGGAAUAACAUAUGCUGUAAG